rnacentral:antisense_RNA from 1 species
GGGGGAAGGAUUCAUUCUGCUCUCCAGGGCAGAAAGAGAAUGGAAGGUCUGAAGGCUUGCAGAAAUAAAUGUGUGACCUGAAAGAACGAAGCAGAGAGGACUCAAGACACUGCGUUUGGGAGCCACCUCUGCUUCCAAACACUUGUCUCUUCCAAGAGCUGGAUUCAGUAUCAAAAGGAGAAGGUAUGACAUAGCCCCACCUACAUGCAAUGGGAGCCAGGAAGUGCAAUCCCUGGCUGGGCUGCCACGUCUCAGAAACCAUUAAGCCUAUGGAAGGUCUCUGGAUUUGAUGGCAAAUGGCAGCAGAAAUGUGGAAAAGAUCAAAGUGAUGUCAAGGUUGAUCUCUGAGUUUGGCAGGGCUGAACUCAAACAUCAUUUGCCAUGGACCCACAGUGUCUUCAGUAGCUGAGUGGGGUGUCGUUCCCCUAUGAUAUGUGCACUUAAUUGCUGGCCAGUUUUUGUUUUUUUGUUUUUGAGAGAGUCUCGCUGUGUCACCUAGGCUGGAGUGCAGUGGCACGAUCUCGGCUCACUGCAACCUCCGCCUCCCGGGUUCAAGUGAUUUUCCUGCCUCAGCCUCCCGAGUAGCUGAGAUUACAGGCAUGUGCCAGCAGGCCCGGCUAAUUUUUUUUGUGUUUUUAGUAGAGACGGGGUUUCACCAUGUUGGCCAGGCUGGUCUCGAGCUCCUGGCCUCAAGUGAUCCAUCUGCCUCCACCUCCCAAAGUG